rnacentral:rRNA from 1 species
GUAGGUGGCAAGCGUUGUCCGGAAUUAUUGGGCGUAAAGCGCGCGCAGGCGGUUCUUUAAGUCUGAUGUGAAAGCCCACGGCUCAACCGUGGAGGGUCAUUGGAAACUGGAGAACUUGAGUACAGAAGAGGAAAGCGGAAUUCCACGUGUAGCGGUGAAAUGCGUAGCGAUGUGGAGGAACACCAGUGGCGAAGGCGGCUUUCUGGUCUGUAACUGACGCUGAGGCGCGAAAGCGUGGGGAGCAAACAGGGAUUAGAUACCCUGGUAGUCCACGCCGUAAACGAUGAGUGCUAAGUGUUAGGGGGGUUUCCGCCCCCUUAGUGCUGCAGCUAACGCAUUAAGCACUCCGCCUGGGGAGUACGGCCGCAAGGCUG